rnacentral:rRNA from 1 species
UGGGGAAUUUUGGACAAUGGGCGCAAGCCUGAUCCAGCAAUGCCGCGUGCAGGAUGAAGGCCUUCGGGUUGUAAAUUGCUUUUGUACGGAACGAAAAGCUUCUGGUUAAUACCUGGGAGUCAUGACGGUACCGUAAGAAUAAGCACCGGCUAACUACGUGCCAGCAGCCGCGGUAAUACGUAGGGUGCGAGCGUUAAUCGGAAUUACUGGGCGUAAAGCGUGCGCAGGCGGUUAUGUAAGACAGAGGUGAAAUCCCCGGGCUCAACCUGGGAAUUGCCUUUGUGACUGCAUGGCUAGAGUGCGGCAGAGGGGGAUGGAAUUCCGCGUGUAGCAGUGAAAUGCGUAGAUAUGCGGAGGAACACCGAUGGCGAAGACAAUCCCCUGGGCCUGCACUGACGCUCAUGCACGAAAGCGUGGGGAGCAAACA